UUUCUGCUUUGGCUAUUAAAUCUUUAGACGACCUUGAAAUCUUUUGAAAAGAAGCUCAAUUUUUCAAAAUUUCAAGAUUUGAAUUUAGUCAAUUUAAUCAAAUAUCUUUAUCUUCUUAACACAUAUUAAAUCCUUUCAUCAAUCUUUGAAUGUUUGCGGGCAGUGAUUGUCACAUAUGCAAAACUGCCAAGAAUACGGUGACAAAACAAGGACUAUGAGAAUUAUCGACGGAAACCCAUUAAACAAGAUUUGUAUCAUGGAUUUAUAUUUGAGUAUUGUAUUUUGAGUUUUUACUUGUAUAUAUUUAAUAUAAAUGCAUUAUACGGAUGAAGUAAUGUACUUUUCACAUGAUUUGUUUCGUGUAGGUACUGGUGCAGUGGAAAUCAUCAUAGGCCAUGCCGAGGUUUCAAUCAGUUUUAUAGAAGAGAAAAAGAUCUCUGAGGUUUUGAACGGUUGCCUUCAUAAGCAAUGAAACUGUUGAUGCUUCUCUUUAAAAAAGCUGCCAUUUAAGGAAAACAAUGAGUUUGUUCUACACAUCUUAAUUAUAACAUACAAAACAGGGGAAAGAAUCCGAAGUCCUGAUUUCGUGUGUUGGAAGUGCAUAUUAUGUUGCACUAGAAUUUCUACGUAGAUCAUAUACUCAUAUAGCCUUGAAGUUGAUGUACCAGACAGUGUUUCCAAAAAUCAGGUGUGUAUGGGCAGCCUUUGCCCUCACCUUUAGCUUCUCGGGUUAUGAGUGCACUGUCGAAUCUUCAUUGACCACCAAAGAUGCAGUGGAUAAAUUCCAGUCGAUCUGAAAAAAGAGUUACCAUUGUCAAGCUGGGUGGUUCGGAUAAUGGGUCAAAUGGGUUUGGGAUAUAAGUUGGGCUGACUAGAAACAUCCUAACAGAAGUAUCUUUUAGCUUCUUUGACUAAUAAUUAUUCCUCAAUGAAACUUAACUUUCUUGGAAUGGAAAAGAGGUUCAGGCUACAGCUAGGUCUGACCGAUGUAACUGCAGAAACUAUUAUGGUCCUGUUUGAUGAGACAGGGGAGCAGUUGUUUAAGCGAUCAGCAAGGGCGCUAUUAGCAUUGCACUAUGUGGUCCAGUUUGCUUUGUGGAAGCUUGAAAUUUCAGCAGCGCAUGGCCUACUUCUUGAGGUUUGUGUUGGCAUAAUGGGUGGGUUGGGUCAUGAAUCUAAACCUGUAACUUUAGUAUGGGGCUAUGGGCUGAAACUGGCCAGUUUAUGGUUGAGCCAACCUACUUCUUGAAGGUUUGUUGAUCGAUAUUUUAAAACCUGAUAUGUUUUUGUUUUACUUAUCAUUUAUGUAUAAGGAUGUCAUUGAAUACUGUUUUUAGUCGAUACAUCUUUUGUAGCUGAUAUGUAUAUGCUAUGUAUACCGUUUUCUUUA